UACGUAGGGGGCGAGCGUUGUCCGGAUUUAUUGGGCGUAAAGGGCUCGUAGGCGGCUUGACAAGUCGAUCGUGAAAACUCAGGGCUCAACCCUGAGACGCCGGUCGAUACUGUCAUGGCUAGGGUCCGGUAGAGGAGAAUGGAAUUCCCGGUGUAGCGGUGAAAUGCGCAGAUAUCGGGAGGAACACCAGUAGCGAAGGCGGUUCUCUGGGCCGGUACCGACGCUGAGGAGCGAAAGCGUGGGGAGCAAACAGG
rnacentral:rRNA from 1 species